AGUCACUUAUGAAAAUGAAUGUACCUCUCACAUAACAUAUAUCACUUCCAAUCCUGUCUCAAGUCAGGCUUCUCUCUGAAAUGUUUCCGAACGUUAAUCAGUAAUCAGGGCACAGAUUGGCACAUGCUGCUGGGCUUUGAAGCUAUUCCUAUCCUAUGAUUUGUCACAUCCUUAGUAGUACUUUGCAUGAUUUUCAUACAUAUCCUAUUAGUCUUUCUUGCUUAAGGACUUUAGAUUUCAGCAAAAUACUUGACAGCACCCAACUGUUGGACAUUGCUGAGAGUUUCCCAUUAGCCGAGUACAAGGUGCCGCUUGACAGCUCCAGUUGACUGGAGGAUUGAGAAGUGGGUUGUGCUGCUCGUCUGUGCUGUGACAUCAUUGCUGGGGAGCUCUUCCAAAUGUCACUGCAGAUCUGUACUUCCCACACUGGGUGCUCUUCUGUACCCCAGCUCUUCUUUCUAUUUGCUUGACAGGAGGCAUCCCAAUAUUCUUUGCUGUGUGGAGUUCAGGACAGCUGCUGCCACGGGGAUAUAUUGAAGAAUGAUGACUGGUGCAUAAUUUGAUGUCACUGGCUAAGCCUGGCCUGACCCUGUCAAACCGUCAGGGUCACUUUGUUUGCUUGAAGAACCAGUUUCCUCACAAAUAAAAAAAAAAACAACCCACAAACCUUGCAGUAAGACCUUA